GAAAUAUGGUGAUGGUAGAGGGUUG
rnacentral:piRNA from 1 species